AGGGAAUCUUCCGCAAUGGACGAAAGUCUGACGGAGCAACGCCGCGUGAGUGAUGAAGGUUUUCGGAUCGUAAAGCUCUGUUGCCAGGGAAGAACGUCCGUUAGAGUAACUGCCAGGAGAGUGACGGUACCUGAGAAGAAAGCCCCGGCUAACUACGUGCCAGCAGCCGCGGUAAUACGUAGGGGGCAAGCGUUGUCCGGAAUUAUUGGGCGUAAAGCGCGCGCAGGCGGCUGUUUAAGUCUGGUGUAUAAUCCUGGGGCUCAACUCCGGGUCGCACUGGAAACUGGACGGCUUGAGUGCAGAAGAGGAGAGUGGAAUUCCACGUGUAGCGGUGAAAGGCGUAGAGAUGUGGAGGAACACCAGUGGCGAAGGCGACUCUCUGGGCUGUAACUGACGCUGAGGCGCGAAAGCGUGGGGAGCAAAC
rnacentral:rRNA from 1 species